rnacentral:rRNA from 1 species
GUAGGUGGCAAGCGUUGUCCGGAAUUAUUGGGCGUAAAGCGCGCGCAGGCGGUUCUUUAAGUCUGAUGUGAAAGCCCACGGCUCAACCGUGGAGGGUCAUUGGAAACUGGAGAACUUGAGUACAGAAGAGGAAAGCGGAAUUCCACGCGUAGCGGUGAAAUGCGUAGAGAUGUGGAGGAACACCAGUGGCGAAGGCGGCUUUUCUGGUCUGUAACUGACGCUGAGGCGCGAAAGCGUGGGGAGCAAACAGGGAUUAGAUACCCUGGUAGUCCACGCCGUAAACGAUGAGUGCUAAGUGUUAGGGGGGUUUCCGCCCCCUUAGUGCUGCAGCUAACGCAUUAAGCACCCCCGCCUGGGGAGCACGGCCGCAAGGCUG